CCCUUAGAUGUUCUGGGCCGCACGCGCGCUACACUGACGAAUUCAACGAGUUUAUAACCUUUGCUGGGAGGCAUGGGUAAUCUUGUGAACGUUCGUCGUGAUGGGGAUAGAUUAUCGCAAUUGUUAAUCUUCAACGAGGAAUUCCUAGUAAACGCAAGUCAUCAGCUUGCAUUGAUUACGUCCCUGCCCUUUGUACACACCGCCCGUCGCACCUACCGAUUGAAUGGUCCGGUGAAUUCUUCGGACUGCGGCUUUGACUCGAUUUCGGUCGAGGCGUUGCUGCGGGAAGUUGAUUAAACCUUACCAUUUAGAGGAAGGUGAAGUCGUAACA
rnacentral:rRNA from 1 species